rfam:Triticum aestivum genome assembly, contig: Triticum_aestivum_CS42_TGACv1_scaffold_034166_1BL
CAUAUACUCCCUCAGUCCGGAAAUACUUGUCAUCAAAAUAAAUAAAAAAGAAUGUAUGUAGAUAUAUUUUAGUUCUAGAUACAUACCUUUUUGUCCAUUUUGAUGACAAGCAUUUUCAGUCGGAGGAAGUGCCAU